CAACUUCAAUUCCGAAUCAAAUUCACAGCAAAUUAAAACAACAAAAAAAAUCAAAGAAGAAUUGAAACAGAUUAAGUGAGCCUUUCGAAGUGAACGACGCCUAAUUUAAGUCAAAUACAAAUCUAAACCAAGUUAAAAAGAACAAAAAAAAGAUUAAAACGAGUUAAGAUUAUCACCUUGGCUGUCUAGGAGUGAUUCAAAUCAAAAUUCUAGGGUUUAAUUUUCAGUGAAAUGGAAAAGAUGGAUGCAGAUAGGGAGGGUG
rnacentral:lncRNA from 1 species